UACGUCGAUCCUAGAAACCAACAAAAUAGGAGAUCAAACGUCCUAUUUUAUUAUUCCAUGCUAAUGUAUUCAAGCGCGAGCCUGCUUUAAACACUCUAAUUUUUUCAAAGUAACAGUCCUGAUUCCCCAUCACACCAAAUAAAUGGCAUAACGGUUCUUCAGAAGGGAGGAAUCAGUGACACCAGUGCAUACCAAGGCACGACCAGC
rnacentral:misc_RNA from 1 species